rnacentral:ncRNA from 1 species
GAAAGCACAGUACGAUGAAAGUUGUAAGCUGUGUUCGGGGGGAGUUAUUGUCUAUCGUUGGCCUCUAUGGUAGAAUCAGUCGCGGGCUUGACAAUCCAAC